GAUGAACGCUGGCGGCGUGCCUAAUACAUGCAAGUCGAGCGAACGGACGAGAAGCUUGCUCCUCUGAUGUUAGCGGCGGACGGGUGAGUAACACGUGGAUAACCUACCUAUAAGACUGGGAUAACUUCGGGAAACCGGAGCUAAUACCGGAUGAUAUUUUGAACCGCAUGGUUAAAUAGUGAAAGACGGUCUUGCUGUCACUUAUAGAUGGAUCCGCGCCGCAUUAGCUAGUUGGUAAGGGAACGGCUUACCAAGGCAACGAUGCAUAGCCGACCUGAGAGGGGGAUCGGCCCCACUGGAACGGAGACACGGUCCAGACUCCUACGGGAGGCAGCAGUAGGGAACCUUCCGCAAUGGGCGAAAGCCUUACGGAGCAACGCCGCGUGAGGGAUGAAGGUCUUCGGAUCGUAAAACUCUGUUAUUAGGGAAGAACAUAUGUGUAAGUAACUAUGCACAUCUUGACGGUACCUAAUCAGAAAGCUACGGCUAACUACGUG
rnacentral:rRNA from 1 species